GGGUUGUGAGGUUAAGCGACUAAGCGUACACGGUGGAUGCCCUGGCAGUCAGAGGCGAUGAAGGGCGUGCUAAUCUGCGAUAAGCGCCGGUAAGGUGAUAUGAACCGUUAUAACCGGCGAUACCCGAAUGGGGAAACCCAGUGUGAUUCGUCACACUAUCAUUAACUGAAUCCAUAGGUUAAUGAGGCGAACCGGGGGAACUGAAACAUCUAAGUACCCCGAGGAAAAGAAAUCAACCGAGAUUCCCCCAGUAGCGGCGAGCGAACGGGGAGGAGCCCAGAGCCUGAAUCAGCAUGUGUGUUAGUGGAAGCGUCUGGAAAGGCGCGCGAUACAGGGUGACAGCCCCGUACACAAAAGCGCAUGUGCUGUGAGCUCGAUGAGUAGGGCGGGACACGUGGUAUCCUGUCUGAAUAUGGGGGGACCAUCCUCCAAGGCUAAAUACUCCUGACUGACCGAUAGUGAACCAGUACCGUGAGGGAAAGGCGAAAAGAACCCCGGCGAGGGGAGUGAAAAAGAACCUGAAACCGUGUACGUACAAGCAGUGGGAGCCCCACCACUAAGCCAGUGGUGAACUCCACAUACGCAUCCUUUGCUGAGGAUACGGUUAACGGAGCGAAAGCGACGUUCAACCUCAAAAGAAGCAGAGGGGGCUUAGUGGUGGGGUGACUGCGUACCUUUUGUAUAAUGGGUCAGCGACUUAUAU
rnacentral:rRNA from 1 species